rnacentral:rRNA from 1 species
CCUACGGGUGGCUGCAGUGAGGAAUAUUGGUCAAUGGCCGUAAGGCUGAACCAGCCAAGUCGCGUGAAGGAAGAAUGUCCUAUGGUUUGUAAACUUCUUUUAUAGGGGAAUAAAGUUAUCCACGUGUGGAUAUUUGCAUGUACCCUAUGAAUAAGCAUCGGCUAACUCCGUGCCAGCAGCCGCGGUAAUACGGAGGAUGCGAGCGUUAUCCGGUUUUAUUGGGUUUAAAGGGUGCGUAGGGUGUUUUUUAAGUCAGCGGUGAAAGGUUGUGGCUCAACCAUAAAAUUGCCGUUGAAACUGGAUGACUUGAGUGGGCGCGAGGGAGGCGGAAUGCGUGGUGUAGCGGUGAAAUGCAUAGAUAUCACGCAGAACUCCGAUUGCGAAGGCAGCAUACUAAGGCAUAACUGACACUGAAGCACGAAAGCGUGGGGAUCGAACAGGAUUAGAUACCCUAGUAGUC